UGUACAUAUUGAUAUUGUUUCUCAUGAAAAGUCAUUGGAAGUGGUUAUAUGUAGGACUGCUUUCACUAGAAAUAACUAAAAAAUUUUGAAGUAAUUUAAAGAAGGCAUGCAUUAUUUAAACACUUAUUAAAAGUCUGUACACAUUUUAAAUUAAAUAAUGGUCUUUAUUUGUAGGACUCUGAAGAUAUCUUUACCAAGCAAUCUAUCUCUAUUAUUACAGAGGAACCCAAACAACCAUGUCAACAUAGUCAAAGUCAUUUGUCACCCACUGGCCACUAUACUGGGCUAUUGUUACAGUUUGACUUUGCAUCAAAUGUAUCAUGUCAGCAAUCCUUUGUUGUUCAUGAUUAUAAUGCAAACAAAAGAACAAUUAUGCAUAAUUCAUUUGUAUUUGUACAUCGAUAUCCCCACCUAUUGCUUGAUGGCUAUGGUUGGAUAUUGUGCUGCUCAUGUGAUGCAAAUAGAAAGCAAUUUGUUGAUGCCCUACCUAAUAAUAUACAAUUAGAUCCUCAAAAAGAAUCCACAUCCAUGAUGCAGUCUGUUUUCAGUGAUCAUUCCUACCAUGAGAUGCAACCUGAAGAAGCAAUGAGAAUGAUGCAAGCGAUUUUACUGAUCUUCCUGAAAAAAAUGGUCAUAAAAUUUUGGCGCCAUCUGAAAGUGGUAUUUGUUCUUGUGGUGCAGAGUGGGAUAAACGUUCUAUUCAAGAUGAAUGGUUGUACGUAGACUUGUGUUCAGUUGCGUACUUUUGUUCAAUCCAUGAUGUGAAGGUGUAUUGUAGACCUUGCUCCUCUUGUGCUACGAAAAAAGCAUUAUGAUGGCAUUGAAAACAGGAUUGUAUGGUUUGGAUCAUAUGCAAUAUCUCAUGCCGAUCUAAAAGAUUACAUUCGGCUUUUCAUAACGGCUUUUCGAGUUUACCUAUGUACAAAUAUUAUGUUGCAUAUGUACAAAGGCAAGUGUCUUCGAGUAGUUUGAAUUUCCCAAAGGAAAUAACUUACGCCAAGUUUCGUCUCGCUAUCAUUGCCAUGAUACGGUUGCUUGAUAUUGAUUUUGACAAUGGGUUUU